GACGAACGCUGGCGGCGUGCUUAACACAUGCAAGUCGAACGGAAAGGCCCUGCUUGCAGGGUACUCGAGUGGCGAACGGGUGAGUAACACGUGGGUGAUCUGCCCUGCACUUCGGGAUAAGCCUGGGAAACUGGGUCUAAUACCGGAUAGGAGCCAUUUUUAGUGUGAUGGUUGGAAAGUUUUUUCGGUGUAGGAUGAGCUCGCGGCCUAUCAGCUUGUUGGUGGGGUAAUGGGCUACCAAGGCGGCGACGGGUAGCCGGCCUGGGAGGGUGGACGGCCACAAUGGGACUGAGAUACGGCCCAGACUCCUACGGGAGGCAGCAGUGGGGAAUAUUGCACAAUGGGCGCAAGCCUGAUGCAGCGACGCCGCGUGGGGGAUGACGGGCUUCGGGUUGGAAACUCCUUUCGCUAGGGACGAAGCUUUUUGUGACGGUACCUAGAUAAGAAGCACCGGCUAACUACGUG
rnacentral:rRNA from 1 species